rnacentral:rRNA from 1 species
GACGAACGCUGGCGGCGUGCUUAACACAUGCAAGUCGAACGGAAAGGCCCUGCUUUUGUGGGGUGCUCGAGUGGCGAACGGGUGAGUAACACGUGAGUAACCUGCCCUUGACUUUGGGAUAACUUCAGGAAACUGGGGCUAAUACCGGAUAGGAGCUCCUGCUGCAUGGUGGGGGUUGGAAAGUUUCGGCGGUUGGGGAUGGACUCGCGGCUUAUCAGCUUGUUGGUGGGGUAGUGGCUUACCAAGGCUUUGACGGGUAGCCGGCCUGAGAGGGUGACCGGCCUCAUUGGGACUGAGAUACGGACCAGAAGCCUACGGUAGGCAGCAGGGGGGAAUAUGGCACAAUGGGCGGAAGCCUGAUGCAGCAACGCCGCGUGCGUGAUGACGGCCUUCUGGUUGUAAACCGCUUUCGCCUGUGACGAAGAGUGAGUGACGGUAAUGGGUAAAGAAGCACCGGCUAACUACGUG